AAUGGCAGGGGUCUUUCCCCACGGCAGGGGUCUCCCCCCAAUGGCUCGGGUUUCCCCCACAUGGCUGUUGUCUUCCCCCAUGGCUGGGGUCUUUCACCACAGAGUCUAGUGACCACCUUGCUCCAUCGCCUCCCUGUGCCACUCAGAUUGCCGCAGGGUGUGGCAUCCCACACGUGUACACACUCAGCACGUCCAGCCGAAGCCCUGUGGCGGGCGUCAGUUUCCCGCAGUUUGCAGGUGCAGACCAGGGCUUGGCCAUCCUGAGACCGCAGGCUUUCUGUGGCUUUCAGCUCUUCCACAUGCCAGAUGGGCUCUCCAGUUUGGAGUUCUAGAAGUCACCUAUGGAGUCAGAUGGGCCACACCUCCUCAGUUUACUGAAUGCUGUUGCAGAGAGGCUGGGCCAGGGUGCCACCCUCGCUGGACCUGGGGGCUGCGUUCCCAGGGCUGUGUUUGUGCGGGUGUGUCUCUUGGCAAGAUGGGAAAAGGCCCUGACAUUUGUGCCUUCCUAAGCUUGGCCUUGCAGCCAUCACUCCGAGGAGGGGGCCGAGGGCAGGGGGUCUCCCAGGAGGCUGCUCCAUCUUUGUUCCAGUGGCCACUCCAAUCUUGGUGCCAUCCGUGGCUUAGGGUGACACUGGGGCUGCGAGGCAGGAGCGACUGCUCUGCCCGGGCUCUGGGGCCUUGCAGUUGGGUCUGGUGGGGCCGGCAGCUCCCACCAGGUUGAGGACAGCCCGGGCCACCUUGCCCUUGAGGCUGAGCCCACAGUGGGAGCGGGCUGCGGUCUUUGUCUCCCUGGAGCACUGUCUCUGUUGCUCCAGAGACAGCCGCGCAGCCAUGCUGGGGAGCUAGAGGGACUUGUGCUUGGAUGGUGGUCGGUGGGGGAUGGGGAGCCUUUGGGCUGAGCGUGGCUCUUACCUGGGGCCUCUCUUCCAGGCGGGGCUGGUUUCCCUUCUCCUAUACCCGGGUCUUGGACAGCGACGGCAGUGACAGGCUGCACAUGAGCCUGCAGCAAGGGAAGAGCAGCAGCACGGGCAAUCUCCUGGACAAGGACGACCUGGCCAUCCCACCCCCCGAUUACGGCGCCGCCUCCCGGGCCUUCCCCGCCCAGACGGCCAGCGGCUUCAAGCAGAGGCCCUACAGUGUGGCCGUGCCCGCCUUCUCCCAGGUCAGUGGGCGGGGCCGGGGCUGGGAGGGGCCCGCAGGUGGAAGAGUGGGCUCAGCAGUCCCCCGUUGGAGCCUCCGCUGAGGGGCGGGGCGCCUGGGGGUCUGGGUCUCUUUGGACAGCCCUGGGGUGAAGGCUGCAUGAUUUGGGAAUGUGUACACACCCCUGCUUCGGCCUCAGGCUGCCCGCCUCGCCCCAGCAGGCUCCCUGUGUCGGCAUGCUGGGGCUGGGGUCAGCCUGUCCCUCAUGGUGCCCUCAGCCAGCCAUGGGCAACUCACUGCUCUGUCCAAAGGGGCAGCGUCUGGGCUGGGAAGUGGCUGGCCUAGAGGUGGGCCUGGACACCGCCGCCUUUUGGGAGAGCCAGGGGGGCAGGAUCUCUUCCGUGAGAACCACGGGGCUCCCUCAGUCACAUCCAUGAGAUGGGAGUGCUUGCUGCUCAGCCCUGGCAUGUGGCUGGACCCCUUCCAGUCAGUGUGACCCUGGAUUUGGGCCAUCUGGUGCCGGGAGGCCAGAGGUGGAGGAUCAGGGCCUGGGUCCUAGGCCCUGGUGUGGGUCCUCGGAAACCCGGGAUCAUGGCGGUCCUGGUAUCUAGGCUGGGGCAGGGUGUGAGCGUGCAUCGCAACUUGCCGGGUUCCAGCCCACUCCGUCCAGGGAGGCUCCUGGGGUUGGAGAGUUGGAGACUCCUGUCUGUCUGGGGCUCCUCAGCCAGAGGUCCAGUUUGUGGGAUGUUGGCUGGGCUAGCAGCUUUGUUCCCGGGGCCGGUCUCCAGGGCUGGGCCUCAGGCAGUGAGUAGAGAGAAGAAGGGAACCCACCUUUUUCCGAGAUAACAGGUAGCCUGGGUGACUAUUCAGCUAUUGACCCACAAGUGAGGAGCCCCCAGAUUGACAGCCUGAGCUGAGGCCGCAGGAGGCAACCUGGAGAGGUUUGGGCUCUGGGCCGUGGGUGUUCCACAGGUCAGCCUCUGGGGUGGGCUCAGUGCUGGGAGAGCCAAGGAGGGGUCUGCACCUGCCCUAGGCCCCGGGCCAGGCCAUGCUGGCAGAUAAAGGGCGCAGCCAGCCCCAGCGCCACACCUGGGCGCUCCUCCCAGGCAGUGUCACCCUCCCAGGGGCCGGGAUGGUACAUGUGACAAGUUUCCAGGAAACUGCAGCUGGGGUCUGGGUCUGGCUCCUACAAGCAGGCGGAGGAGUCCCAGGGGCCCGCCCAGGCAUGGGUGAGGUGCUGCAGGUGCCCCGCGGGGGCCUCGGCUCCCUGGGGGCGGGAGGAGGGGUCUCAGGCGGCCAGUCUUGCAUCUGUUUGGGAGUGUGCAGCAAGCACACAAAUUCAGGUGGCCGCUGGCUGGAGGAGGUAUCCCCAUUAAUUUGGGCAGUCAUUACUUUACCACUGGGACCAGGGCUCCAGGCAGGUCUCUGAGUGCUGCGGCCAGGAGAUGGGGGGCCUUCCAAAGGAACAUGGUUUGAACCUUGUCCAGGCAGGAUCACCAUUUGUGGGUGUGUACAGGCAGCGGGUGGGGGUGACCACAGGCCCCAUCACCCGGCCUGACAUGUUUCUGCCUCUGCCCCCAGGGCCUGGAUGACUAUGGAGCGCGGUCCAUGAGCAGGUAAGGGGACUUUCAGACCUGUCUUUGGGACUGUGGGUGGGUGUGAAGAGGCCGGGUGGGGCAGGUCCCUCUCCUAGGACCUGGGGCCACCUCUUCUUCCUUUAGGGCCCAGCCUGGCCCUUCACCCCUGUCAGAGCCGGGGACGUCCCUUAGGGCGUCCUGCUUUCUCCGAGUGACACGGGAACCCCCCGGGCCCUGCCCCUCUUUCAUCGCAUCUGGCCGGCCCCAUCCAUCCCUGUCAGGCAGGGUUGGGGAGGGUAGCUGAGGCUGGCAUCCAUGGCUGGGGCUGCAGCCUCCUCUGCCCCAAUCUGUGCUCCGCCCUUGUCCUGGGUCUUCCUGGAGGGUCAGGAGGCCAACGGGAGCUGCUGAAAGGGGCAUUGCUCGGUGCGGGCGGACUCGCCGCCUGUGGCUGGGCAGCGUCGUGCAGCCAGGCAGCCGUCCUGUGCUUUGUUUCACAGUGGCAGCGGCACGCUGGUGUCCACAGUGUGAGGACGCUGACCCCAGGCAGCCGCUGCUCUGAAGAGCUUCCGCGCCUUCCCCCUGGUCUCGUCCGUUUUCCUCCUCAGCUCUCGCUGGUUUGUUCUUGGGUUGUUUUUCUUUUCCACCUGCCCCUUGCCUUUUGGUUGGUGACCCCAGACUCUGUGAUCCCCCAGGGUCCAUGGUGCUGCUCCAUCCGCCCCCCCCCCCACCCCCGUGUUUACGCGCCCCAUCCUGUGUGUCCCAGCCUUUUGAGCAGAAACUGCCAGGCAGGACCUGCUGGGCCGUGCGGGGCACCCUCGGCCUCACCCUGCAGUGUCUGUGGCACUCACUGCUUUUCUAAGGCUCGCCGUGAGCCAGGUCUAAAGUUUGAAGAAAAAGAAAAAUCUU
rnacentral:sRNA from 1 species